ensembl:lncRNA
CAAGAUUCUCAGAGGGCGGAGCCAGAGAGCAGUGAUUGGACAGACCAUAGUUUAUAUAGCAGACAGCGCGCUAGCGUAUCUAGUCUAUGUAUAUAUAUGGUUGGCACGUCUGGUAGCAUCUCUGGCUGCUGUUGAUCUUGUUUUUGGAGUAAAACACGGUGGAAGCUGAAUUAGUGAGGAUGACUCCUGCUCCUGUCAUCUCUAAGCUCCUCACACAUCUUUACCUGCACAUGAGGAAAAUCACUCCUGUAGAAUGCAGAUGUUCAGAGGGAGAUGAUGCCACAUCUGGUCCAGCUGAUGGAAGGUCUUGAAGUUCUCUGACUGGCCUCGACUGAAGAUGGUCGUCUCACUGGAUUUAAGGUUCAGAUGCUCAGUAACAAACUCCACCAAUGUGCCAACAGGGAAGCUUUAGGUUUAUUAAAUGUUGCUAUGAAGGUAUCGCUGUUUUUCUUUGUGAAUGCAAUGUGCUCCAACUGAAAGUUGAAUUAGAACUUAGAAGUAAAUCCUUCCAUCUGAAAGGAUUUAAUUGCAUUAAUAACCUCAUAACAUUCUAAUUUUUAUUCCAGUCUUGGCUGGAAAUAGAAUCUCUGUAUUGAUUCAGUUAAAAACUGAACUUCACAGCAUGUUGAAGCAAAACAACCAGAUGAAAACUGUGAUGGUGUUGGAUUGUCAGACCGUAAUGUUGCAGCUCAAAGCAGCUUUUCUAUCUCAGUUCAUUCUGACAUUCAGCUAUGAAUCAACACAGCAGAUGGUGAUCCAUGCUGUGGAAGUCUCACAUCUCCUGAUUUAAUGGAGCUGCUUUGCACUUUUUACACUGUUUAUUCACCAACACUUUAUUUAAUAAAAGUCCCAUCUAGUUUUUAUGAGGAAUGUGAUGUUUUAAUUUCUCUGUGAAUAACUGCAGUCUAAUGUAACAGCUGGAGUUGUAACAUCUGUCCUGAUAUUGAUCAUGAAGUAUUGAUCAGAAUACUGAUGGUCAGCAGUCAUCCCUGAAGUUUUACAUUAAAAUCUUUACUUGUGUUGUGAACUUUGGUAAGAAGCAGAAACUUUUGCGUUGCCAUGGAUACAUGAGUGUUAAGUUCUGUCCAUGUUUCCAUUUUGGGAAAUGCAGUCCAGUUCCAGAAUGUGGAGGAAUUUAGUCUCACAAUCACAGACAAUAAAUAUUAUCUGAAAGUCGGGUUAUUGUUGUUUAUCAGCACAAUACAAAAAGAUUAAUGUUAGAAAUAUUCCAGUUAAGACUCUAGAAUAUCAUGAUUUAUGUAAAUUUACCUCAAUAAUAUGAAUCUUCAGGUUAAGAUUGUACAGUGAUAUUUAUUAUGUAAGUUUAGCUGAUUAAAGUUUAUGACUCUGCACUAAAAUAUUAUUUAAAUUGUCAUUAUUAUAAUAUUUAGGGUCAGACCCUACAGUAUUGAGAUUAAGAAAUCAAAUAUUCUAUAAAAUGUAAAUACACUGAACUCAUUUGGAUCUAUUUAAGUGAGACUCUACAGUAUUAUUUGACACAAAUCUAUCUAAAUCAAAAUUUUAAUCAUUUUCAUGCCAAACAUUUACUGGACUGAUUUAAAUAUUAAAAUCACUCCUUUCUAAUCCUCUGCUGUACGUUCAAACCUGAGGCCUUAAAUAGAAACACACAAGUAUCUGAUUGAAGGAACUUCUGCAGAGUCCUGGUUCCAGAACAUGAUGAUAGAAUUAUAGACAAACUUUAACAAAAGCUGCCUCAGAGUUUACAGAUUUUUAUGUUGGAUUUCUUCAGUAAUUUAAUGAGCGUUAUCAGCAAUAAUCAAGUGUUCAUUUGAUGAACUUCAUUUCCUAAAACAUCCAGAAUUGGAGCUCAUAUCUUUGGCAGCUGUAAAGUUUCUGCUCCUUCAAAGUUCACAACACAAUGAAUGAAUUCCUAAAACACUCAAUGCUGGAGAGCGUUUGUGAUGCUGAAGCAGUGAUCAGUUUUUCUGUUUCUUCUCUGGAGAAGCACAAUGAGGGACGUCUGCAGAGACUGAGAAAGAGUCUCGCCACAUCCUUACAUGAGGAAAAAGACUUUACUGAAGACUACAAUGAGGAAAACUAUCAGACAGCAGACAGCUGCAUUCAAGGUGAGCUCUGAACAUUUGAUCUGGAACAGGAAUUCAAUAACAGCAGCAUGAGCUUCGUUUCAGUCUGUAGCUGCUGAAUUCAUGGAUGAAUCAUCUGGCACUAGAGAAGAAAACCAUCAAGCAUCCAUGUCAGCUGAUGGAGGUCCAAGAGUCUCACCAAACAAACAACCUACAGAGUGAAGACCUCAAAUUUGAUUGGAUGGCCUCCUAUUCAGCCACAUGUGUGAACAAAUGCCUCUAAGCUGAUUUGUUUUCUGAAAUAAAUCUAGUUUGAGUCCUAGUCUAUGCCUGUGUGUUUGCUUCUUUACAUCGCUGUUAACAGUUUAGGCUGUUAGAUUGUUCCAGAUAAGACAAAUACAAGAUUCUUCAGAGCCGUUCUACCACGAGCCUGACAGGAAGAACUGCAACAGCUACUGAAUGUUCCUGUGGUCCCCUCAAGGCUACAGGAGGAGUCCUACGAGGACGAGCCGGUCCACCUGAUGGCGGCCAGUCGCUGCGGUUCAAAGCCAACACCGACUACGUGGACUUCUACUGGACCACACGGAGGUCUUCAAACCGGACCAACAAGUUCAGCGACUCCCCGACUCGUGGGUCUGAGGACGCCGCCGAGCCUCAGCCCAGCCGGCCUCCUGUCUGUGGGUGUUUGAGUGCUGAGAGGUUUGUGGAUGCAUGUGAACAUGUCUGUGUUGAAACAGCAGCUUUUGACUCAGUAACGCUGGGAAAAACCAAGAGCUCCUUUAUUUGUGACUUCCACUAAAAAAAACUGAUGAAAAUAAGUUUGCCAGGGUUCUGACUGAUAACAGGUUAUUAAAUAAUGAAAAUAAUCGUUUAAAUAUUACUUUAAACAAUCCUUUUAAGUCUACAUUUCCUUUACACUGACUUCUUGGUGUAUGUACAAGUAUUUUGGGUGGAAUAUACCAUUAAGCCCGAUGUUCAAGGGUUCUUCUGGGAAUAUACCAUUAAACCAACCUUUUAGGUAAAUGUUCCAGGAUGUUGAGUAGAAUAUACCAUCAGAUCAACCUUUUAGGUCUACAUUUGAAGAUUUUAGAGUAGAAUUUUACUCCAAACCAUCCUUUAGGUCUACAUUUAAGGUGGAAUACUCCUUUACACCAAGAUUUUUUUUGGUCUACAUUGAAAGAUUUUAGGUGAAAUAUUCCUUUGAAUGAACUUUUUAAGUUUAUGUUCAAGGAUGUUGGGUGGAAUAUACCAUCAGACCAACCUCCAAGGUCUACAGUAGUGAAUUUUAGGUGGAAUAUACCAUUAAACUCACCUUUUAGGUCUACAUUGGAGGAUUUUAGGUGGAAUUUUCUUCCAAACCGUCUUUUAGUCUACAUUUUAGGAUGUUUAGGAUGGUAUAUUCUUCCGAACCAACUUCUCAGGUCUACAUUUCAGGUGGAAUAUUCCUCCAUACUAACUUUUUUGGUCUACAUUGAAGGAUUUUUUCUAAACCGCCCUUUCAGGUCUAUAUUUGAGGUUUUAGGUGGAAUAUUCCUUUUAAGCAGCCCCCCAGGUCUCUUUGAGGAUUUUGGAUGGAAUACUCGGGUAAACCAACAUUUUAGGUGCAUGUCCAAGGAUUUGUGGUGGAAUGUUCCUUGAAGGUGGAUGUUUGAGGACCUUGUAGGUGGAAUACUUCCUGAAACCAACCUUUUAGGUCAACAUUCAAAGAUUUAAGGUGGAAUAUUCCUUUAAACCAACCUAAAUUUCAUGUUUUGAUCAUUAUCAAGUGAGAAACCUCAAUCCAGACUCCUCAUAAUGACGUUUGAGAUUUAUGCUGCUGUUAUUUGUUUAGUCCAGACUAAAUGACAGAAAUCCACAACUGUAAUUUUAUUUCAGGACUCUGUUAUUAAAUGUCAAAACAAUCCAUGUGACUCUAAAAACUCAACAGCUUUACAAACUCUAAGAUUAAACUCUCCACAAGGAUCCAAAAUAAAUUGGACUUCUACAUGAGAGCUUGAAUUAUUCUUCAUCUACUUCCUGAAAAGUUUGGUCAAUAAAAAAGACAAAAACUAAUAUUUUCAGCUGAACUAAAGACAGACUGUGAUUUCUCUGCUCACAUGUUGUGUUGUUGUAAACUUACUCUUUCAAAUAAAUACCUGCCUAACCCCCUGGAAACCAGCAUUUGUCCUGUUUUUGUGUUGCUCCUCGGCGACCCUAGACAGCCGAGUCGUAAUGUUUUUUGAGCAACACACCAUACUAUGACGUUUUUACAAUGAUGGUUCUACUAUGAAACCAGUUUGACAUGUUCAGGCGUUCUUUGUGUGAAAACUCAGAGAUUUCAGGUAUCAGAAGGCGGUUUUCAACUUUAACUUUCUGCCUCAACUUUAAACUAAAUUUCCUUCACUAACCCAGCCCUCUGGACUUCCAGUAAGCUGUGUUCCUAUUGGCUGUCCAGGUGGCUGCUUGGUGUUAUCAGGAACACCUGAGCAGCUCAGUGUCUUCCUGCUUUAUUUAGCUGCAGCCAAACAUUUCCUCUGCUUCUGUUCACCACUGAACUGGGUUUGUCCGUUGCUUCACUUUGUUCUUUAGGCGUUGGCUUGCAGCUUCCAGCAGUAAAAUUGUCUUUAAUGUGUUUCUUGGUGUGUUUUAGGGCUUUGUACUGGAUAGUUGUCUUGGUAAAUGUGGUUCUUUAGCCACAGUUAGCACAUGGUGCUAAUGUUUGCAGUGAUUAGUGGAUUUGGUGCAGCUGCGUUGUGUCUUUAUCUUGGCUGUAGUGAGUCUUUCGAGGUUUUUGGUCAGACACACUCUGUAUUCUUGUUUGAGAACCAGCGUUGGUUGUCCAGAAGGUAAGAGUUCCUGUCCUGAUUCUCUGUUCUCAGAGCUUCUCUGGUAGGCUGCAAGAGACUUUAGCGUUUGGGUUGUGCUAGUUUGGUUUUUGUAUGGUUUCAUUUGGACGACUAUCUUGAGGCCCCUCCAUGUGGUUUAGUGAGGUUUUCUGCAACAGUUCUACAAAGCAACCUGCAGCAGAAGAGACUUUGAGAGUUUUUAGGAAGUUCUGGAGACCAGACUUUAGAGCAGCAGAAACAUUUGUCAGCAGGUUGAGCAGGAGAAGGUGAGCUUCAGAGUAGAAGUGAGAAGGAAACCUUCUUGACCCGUGUGGUGAGGUCCUGUACCAAGAGUUUGAGCAGGUUGUGAAGAGUCUGUAGUUCUUUGGCCUGAAAGCACAAGAAGAGUCGACUCAUUAAAGGAGAAAACAGGAGAUAUUGUUGGUUCUUCUGUCGCUCUGCAGUUUCCUUAGACUGAAUAUCAAGUUUAUAUUUUAAAUGAUUUCCCAUGUGAGCCCAAGAAGACUUCAAUAAACUCCCUCCAUCCCCUGGACACAACAUAUUUUAUUACCA